rnacentral:rRNA from 1 species
AGGCAGACGGCUCAGUAACGCGUAGUCAACCUAACCUAUGGACGGGAAUAACCUCGGGAAACUGAGAAUAAUGCCCGAUAGAACACUAUACCUGGAAUGGUUUGUGUUCCAAACGAUUUAUCGCCGUAGGAUGGGACUGCGGCCUAUCAGUUUGUUGGUGAGGUAAUGGCCCACCAAGACUAUUACAGGUACGGGCUCUGAGAGGAGUAGCCCGGAGAUGGGUACUGAGACACGGACCCAGGCCCUAUGGGGCGCAGCAGGCGAGAAAACUUUGUAAUGUGCGAAAGCACGACAAGGUUAAUCCGAGUGGUUUGUGCUAAACGAACCUUUUGUUAGUUCUAGAAAUACUAACGAAUAAGGGGUGGGCAAGUUCUGGUGUCAGCCGCCGCGGUAAAACCAGCACCUCAAGUGGUCAGGAUGAUUAUUGGGCCUAAAGCAUCCGUAGCCGGCUCUGUAAGUUUUCGGUUAAAUCUGUACGCUUAACGUACAGGCUGCCGGGAAUACUGCAGAGCUAGGGAGUGGGAGAGGUAGACGGUACUCGGUAGGAAGGGGUAAAAUCCUUUGAUCUAUUGAUGACCACCUGUGGCGAAGGCGGUCUACCAGAACACGUCCGACGGUGAGGGAUGA